rnacentral:sRNA from 1 species
AAUUUGAACCUGAAUCUGAUCUUUAAUUAUCAUGUCUGCAUCAAAUUUGAACUCAUGGAUACCCUAAAAUACUUGGAUUUUCUUAUUCAUUUUGAUCACUCUUGUUAAUCCAAGUAGCAGACUCUCCUUAUUAGAGCAGUUAACUCAAACCCAAACCUAGACUUUCUUUCGAGCCCUAUAUCACUUGUGAGUGUUUGUGAGGUCUUAUUCCGAUUAAGCUUGGUAGAAAGUGUUAGGUUCGUAACGACAGAGAUAGUGUCUCAUGUAGUUCUAGUUCGCAUUUUUUGGACUAGAUAGGACUAGGUGGGCGCUUAUACUUUGGGUUGAGAUGUGUUUAAAAGAAAAAAAAAGGGGGUUGAUUCAUUGAUAAGAAAAAGUAAAAGACUCUAAAUGAAGUAAGCUAAAGAAGCAGAAAAAGUCUAGUAAAGGUUUUGGGAUUUGAAAAGAAAAGAAAGAAUUCUUGUUAGCUAUUGAAGAUGGGCGAAAGCCCUUGGUUUUAAAAUGUUAAAAACAGGAACCUUAGUUGUUAAAGAAAUCCAAAUCCGCUAGAUGUGUCAAAGUGUUGAGAAAGCUUCUUCUAGAGUUAAGAGAAAAGAAAAGAAUGAUUAGAAAAAGGGCUUAAAAGAUUCAUGAAUGCAAAUGGUAGAGUUAAGUUCUUAUAUUGGGAUUGGAGAUGGGAUUGCCAUUAGAGCUUCAUUUGAUGUACUCUGGGUAGAUGGGAUCUUAUCUCUGUAUGCAUAGCUUGGGACUUACCUUUAGCAUUCUACUAAAGCUUAAUCAUUUUUUGAGAGAUCCCCUGUUACUGAAACCUAUUCUGUAAGGGACCAUCUUUGUCUCUUGACCUUUUACCUUAGCCAAAUGAGUUCAUUGAUGAUGCAUUGCUUGAUUCACGUUCCACAACUAAUGAAUGUUAAAGGGAUUGGUAGAUUUAAUAACAUGUGUAGGUCGAGCAUAUGAGUCGGAUUGAUUGAUAAUGAGGCAUGGCUAACGUUUUUAAGUAGAAUUCGAUCUUGCAGCUUAGAACUUUCAACUUGGACAUUGAUUUCGUAUGGUUUAUCUGGUGCUUUGGCUCUGAGUCCCCGCUUUCAAACCUCACCUCCAGCUUGUUCUUGAUUGUUUGCUUGAGGGCAAGCAAAGACUAAGUUUGGGGGAGUUGAUAAGUGUGUAUUUUGCAUGUUUUGAGCAUCCAUUUUUCAUCACUUUAGCAUCAUUUCUCAUCAUUUGUCAUCACUUUACAUGUUUAGGAUAGAUUUGCAUGCAUGUUGCAUAUUUGCGUUGAUUUCAGGUGAUUUGGAGCUGUUGACGAGCUAUCUGGAAGAAGCGGGCCUGAUCAUGUCAAACCAUUCGACCCCGAGGUCGAGUAGAAGCUUCAAGAUCUUAACAGAUCACUCGACCCCCUGGUCGAGUAGAGGACAUCACUACUUCACCACAUCACUCGACCCUGAGGUCGAGUAUCUUCAUCCCAUCACCUGACAAUCACACAAUCACAUCACUCGACCCCGAGGCCGAGUGUCUUUACCUUCAUUGCCAGAACACUACUCGACCUCUUCACUCUACCUGGAAGUCGAGUAUCACCAUCACCACCACUCGACUGCAUACUCGAUGACAAGCUUCAGAGCCUUCUUCAUUCCGCACUCAACCAGACACUCGAGCACAAGGAAGAAAAGAAGACUCCAGCUAUUCACUCGACCACUCACUCGACCACAUGGGUCGAGUACAGUUCUUAAUCCGUCCCAAUACUGCGUCGUUUUAAGUAUUAGGGUUUCGGAAUAUUUGGCUAUAAGCAGCAUGUACUUCACAUUUUCGCAGACAAGUUUUAUCUAGUUUUAUUCCGCAGACCUUGUGUUCUAGACCUUUUUGUAAUCCGGAUUUCUCUGUAUCUAUUCAGUAUUCAGUAUUCAGCUUUUGUUCUUGAUUUCGUUUACUGUUGUUCAUUCUGUUAUCAUCCUGCUGUUACACUGUUGUUAUCAUGUUUUCAACUUGUUCAACGUUUAUGCUUUCUGUUAUGAUGUCUGAGUAGUGAAUAGGUUUCUGAGGAUGGGUUAGAGUAGUGUAGAAUUCUCAGUAUGUUAGGUGAUUGAGUAUUGGUUGAUAGAUCCCUCUGGAUUAGUUGUUCUUAAUGCCUAUUGCUUUCUGAUCAACUGGAAUUUGAGCCCAGACAUUUCUGCGCCCAAAAGGUGUUCGAUAAAAUAUCUGAACUACUAAUUCCAGAGAUUCGUGACCCUGUACCAAGGUAUUGGUUGCAGGGAGCGUUUUGGCUUUAACUUGUUGAUUCGUAAUGCCUGUUAGGUUAGCUCUCGUCAAUGGUGAUUGAGUCUGGGACUAGGUUAACUUGAGAGUCUCUGUUGCGGUGGCACUUAGAUUUG